AUGUUAGACACAUCUGGUCUCUCUAAGGCAUGGUGGGGGGAGGCGAUAUUGACAGCAUGUCAUGUCCUAAACCGAGUCCCCACAAAGAACAAAGAGAUAACUCCAUUCGAGGAAUGGGAGAAGAAAAGGUUAAAACUCUCUUAUCUGCGAACAUGGGGUUGUUUGGCGAAAGUCAAUGUUCCAAUUCCAAAGAAGCGGAAGCUUGGACCAAAGAUUGUGGAUUGUGUUUUCCUGGGAUAUGCUUUUCAUAGCAUUGGCUAUAGGUUCUUGGUUGUAAAAUCUGAGGUACCUGACAUGCAUGUCGGUACGAUCAUGGAGUCGAAUGAUGCGACUUUCUUUGAAGAUAUCUUUCCCAUGAAGGAUAUGGCUACCUCAUCUAAUCAGGAGAUGCCUAGUUCAUCGAAUCAGGAACCAGUUACAAUUACCAAACCUGCCAUUUCGAUGGAACACUUUGAAAGUCCUGUGGAGGAAAACAAUGAAGUUCCUACUAGGAGCAAGAGACAGAGGACUGCAAAGUCCUUUGGUGAUGAUUUUCUUGUGUAUCUCAUAGAUGACACUCCCAGUUCUAUUUCAGAGGCCUAUGCAUUUGAAGAUGCUGACUACUAG
rnacentral:rRNA from 1 species